UUAAAAAUUUCUCUAUGGAAGAUAUAUUGUAUAAUAUGAAAUACGUAAAAAAAAAAAAAGGAAGUAAAAAUAUUUGAAAAAAGUUUAUUCUCUCGCAAUAUCAUUUAAAAUCUAAAAUUAUUUCUCCUAUUGUAUCUUGCACAAUUGAACGUACCAAAAAGCCUUUCUCGUUUUAGAAUCUGUGAUUGAUAAUACGAGGCUUUAUAUUUCAAGACAAUAAACGAUUAUCUUAUUCUCGCUUUUACAAAAGCAUAUGUUACAACAAAGCCAAAUCAUACAUAAUAUGUAUAUGUACAAUAUCCAAUAAGUACAUGUCAAGAAUAUAUCUUUGAGUUUUCAUUAAAUAAAAAAAAAAAAAAAAAAAAAAAAAGAAAAAAAAGAGAAAAAGAAAAAAGAAAAGAAAAAAAAUGAUACGAGUAAAAAUUGUUCAAUUAUAUAGAUUAUAUAUAGAAAUUAAUUUGUGAAAUUUCAAAUCAAAGUUAUCAUCCUGAAAUAAUACUACAUAGUAACUCUACAUUUGCAUAAUAAUAAUAAUAAUAAUAAUAAUAAUAAUAAUAAUAAUAAUAAUAAUAAUAAUAAUAAUAAUAAUAAUAAUAGUAAUAAUAAUAAUAAUAAUAAUAAUAAUAAUAAUAAUAAUAGUAAUAAUAAUAAUAAUAAUAAUAAUAAUAAUAAUAAUAAUAAUAAUAAUAAUAAUAUAUGUAUAAAAUGAGGGAACUUCAUUGAGAACUGAUAACCAUACUUUCGUUUAGAUUUAAAAUGCUUUGUUGGAAUUAUCGUCUACAAUGGCGUCUUAAAAAUUAACUUUAUCAAUGUUUUUUCGUGUAGUUUGAAUGUACGUAUAGGCAAUUUACAAAAUGAUAUAAUCAGGUGCUUCCUUUAACGAAAAAAAAAAAAAAAGACAAACAAACAAAGGAUGGAGACUAACAUAUAAGAAAUGAAAAUACAUUAUCAAAAUUUUAAGAAAUUGUCUUUCAUUUGUACCUGUUUCAAUUGAAUUAUUUUCAUCGGAUCUUUCUUUAUAAAGUGAUCUCAUUUUUAUCUAGAAAAUAACUUUCUCUCUUUGGUAAGAAAAACUAUAGAUAAAACCACAAACGAAACUUCUAUCAUAUGUCAUGCUCUGAAUACUGUACGUUGGUAUAUAUAAGAAAAUAUCUUUCAUAUGUUGUCUUUUUCUAUGGUUGAUAGUGCAUGUAUCGUCGGAAGAUAAUAAGUCAGACAAAUCGUAUUACAAAAAAUAUGAAGAAGUUCCACGUGUAAAAAUAAAAGUAUUUCGUGGUCCAACGGAAGAAAGAAAUGGCGAAACAUUUGCUAAAUGGGGAUUUUGGAUAAAACAACCACGUAACUCAUCUGUACAUAUUGAUUAAUAAAUUAAAACUAAGUUACGUGGUGACAAUUUUGCAUUAAAUACUGGUCUUAUUAUAGGAUUUAAGUUUCUUUCUGAAAGAUAUAAAAAUCUAUCCAAAAGUACUAAUGUUUCUACCAAUGGUGCUAAUAAAAUUCUAAGCGAUGAAAAUAUAACUAUUUGUAACCAAUAA